rnacentral:rRNA from 1 species
GACGAACGCUGGCGGCGUGCUUAACACAUGCAAGUCGAACGGAAAGGCCCCUUUGGGGGUACUCGAGUGGCGAACGGGUGAGUAACACGUGAGUAACCUGCCCUUGACUUCGGGAUAACUUCAGGAAACUGGGGCUAAUACCGGAUAGGAAUCCUUGCUGCAUGGUGGGGGUUGUAAAGCUUCGGCGGUUUUGGAUGGACUCGCGGCUUAUCAGCUUGUUGGUGGGGUAGUGGCUUACCAAGGCUUUGACGGGUAGCCGGCCUGAGAGGGCGACCGGCCACAUUGGGACUGAGAUACGGCCCAGACUCCUACGGGAGGCAGCAGUGGGGAAUAUUGCACAAUGGGCGGAAGCCUGAUGCAGCAACGCCGCGUGCGGGAUGACGGCCUUCGGGUUGUAAACCGCUUUCAGCAGGGGCGAAGCUUGUGGUGACGGUACCUGCAGAAGAAGCACCGGCUAACUACGUG